rnacentral:lncRNA from 1 species
UGCAGACUAACAGUCCACAGGUUGGGUGCUCGCAAUCUGAUUCGUUCCCUGGAGAUGGAGGAGAGAGAUCGUAGAGGACAGCAAGAUGGAGGAGUGAAGGAGAAGGUGGUGCAGCUCAGUGUCCAAUCAGGAGUGAGCAGUUCGUUCACUGCCUUUAUUGCUGUCAACAAAGACAACAGCGAAGUGAUUCAAGGACCUCUUGUGCGCAGAAAUAUUCCAACACCCUGUACUUUCCCAAUUUUAAAGAGUUCAGGACGACAUACGAGUGCUUUCCGAAAUUUUCAGGGCAGGUCAGGACGACAUCCGAGUAAGUAGAAGCUGAAUAUCAGUAUAACACACAUCUGCACAUCAAUGCAUUUCUAAAAAUAGAAAC